rnacentral:misc_RNA from 1 species
UGGUUCCGGCAUCGAUGAAGAACGCAGCGAAAUGCGAUAACUAGUGUGAAUUGCAGAAUUCAGUGAAUCAUCGAGUCUUUGAACGCAUAUUGCGCCCGCCGGUAUCCCGGCGGGCACGCCUGUCCGAGCGUCAUUUAAAAGUCAAUCGGGACGUGCGAAAGCGCGCCUCCGGAGCUAGGUGCAUCGUCCCCCGAGGCGACACCCUAAACGCGCGAAGCCAGGCCCGCCCUUCCCCGGUUAACGGGGUAGAAGUGUGGCCGUGAAGCAUCGUGAGGGGUAGGCACGUCGUCGGCCUCGGCCACCUCUCGGUGGACGACGGGGCGCGGCGAGGGAAGCUACCGGCAGCCGUCCCCCAACAAACAGGGGCCGGCGGCCGUCGACGGCGAACUGGGGAGGAGGCCGAAGGUCUCCCCCCCGCCACGUCAGCCGUCACCAACAUCGUACUUGACCUCGGAUCAGGUGGGGACACCCGCUGA